rnacentral:rRNA from 1 species
AUGGCCAUGGGAUUGGGAAGGCUCUUGUACCGCUGCAUGAAUUUGAAAGAAGAAAAAGAGCAACAGAUGCUGGAGGAAAAAUCGGUUGCAGAGAGAAUAUUCACCAAGAUGGAGACGUCACCAGCUGAAGAAGGUCUCAUAUAUGACGCCUGGAUUCUUGCUAAAGGGCUCUUGGGGUUAGAGGAUGAGAAGAAAAUGUGGGAGGUGAUCGAAGCCGUGUGGGUGGAGAUGCUCUGCUACUCUGCCAGCAGGUGCCGGGGGCACCUGCACGCUAAGAGCUUGGGCACUGGCGGGGAGCUGCUGACCUUCAUUUGGCUCCUGUGGUUGCACAUGGGGAUGGAAACCUUGGCGGAGAGGAUGCAAAUGCCCGAGGUGGAGAUUCCAGGUGCAGGAGGAAAUACUGGCCCUGCCUUCGGACAAGACGGUGGCGGUGUUUGA